rnacentral:rRNA from 1 species
AGUGAACGCUGGCGGUAUGCCUAACACAUGCAAGUCGAACGGCAGCACAGUAAGAGUGUGCUCUUACGGUUGGCGACUGGCGGACGGGUGAGGAAUACAUCGGCAUCUACUUUUUCGUGGAUGACAACGUAGGGAAACUUACGCUAAUACCGCAUAUAAUCUACGGGUGAAAUCAGUGGAGCUUGGGACCUUUCGCGUUUCAAUUAGCCGAUGUCGGAUUAGCUAGUUGGCGGGGUAAAGGCCCACCAAGGCAACGAUCCGUAGCUGGUCUGAGAGGAUGAUCAGCCACACUGGAACUGAGACACGGUCCAGACUCCUACGGGAGGCAGCAGUAGGGAAUAUUCGGCAAUGGGCGAAAGCCUGACCGAGCAACGCCGCGUGGGUGAUGAAGGCCUUCGGAUUGUAAAGCCCUUUUAUUAGGGAAGAAAAACUGCGGAAGUAUCCACGCAUGUUCUGACGGUACCUAAUGAGUAAGCAACGGCUAACUUCGUG